GACGAACGCUGGCGGCGUGCUUAACACAUGCAAGUCGAACGAUGAACCGGUUUCGGCCGGGGAUUAGUGGCGAACGGGUGAGUAACACGUGGGCAAUCUGCCCUGCACUCUGGGAUAAGCCCGGGAAACUGGGUCUAAUACCGGAUACGACACUCCGAGGCAUCUUGGGGUGUGGAAAGUUCCGGCGGUGCAGGAUGAGCCCGCGGCCUAUCAGCUUGAUGGUGGGGUAAUGGCCUACCAAGGCGACGACGGGUAGCCGGCCUGAGAGGGUGACCGGCCACACUGGGACUGAGACACGGCCCAGACUCCUACGGGAGGCAGCAGUGGGGAAUAUUGCACAAUGGGCGAAAGCCUGAUGCAGCGACGCCGCGUGAGGGAUGACGGCCUUCGGGUUGUAAACCUCUUUCAGCAGGGAAGAAGCGAAAGUGACGGUACCUGCAGAAGAAGCACCGGCUAACUACGUG
rnacentral:rRNA from 1 species